AGGAAAGAGCGUUCACACCGCAGCCCUGUUUCCACCAAUCUUUCCACCACCGCACACAAGAAAUGACAAGACAGACGCCAUUGUAUACAGAUGCCAAGAAGUGUGUUCAGCUCUGGCUGAACAACUUCUAAUCUUGUGCGUGGACUCGAUAAGAAGAAGGCCUAUGGAGACAUGAUGCUGCC